rnacentral:rRNA from 1 species
UUUCUUUAAGCUUAUUUACUUAAAGUAAGACCUGCUCAAUGAUAUUAAAUAGCCGCAGUUCACCUGUGCUAAGGUAGCAUAAUAAUUUGCUUCUUAAUUAGAAGAUAGAAUGAAAGGUUACACACUAAAAACGUGUUUCUCUAAGAUCUAAUUAACUUAAAUCUAAAGUAAAAAUUCUUUUAAUAAAAGCGGGACGACAAGACCCUGAUAAACUUAACAUUUAGUUGGGGAAACACAUUAAAAAAACUUUAACCACUAUAACUGACACAACUUUAACAACAAAAUCAAGUCUAGUUACUACAGGGAUAACAGCGUUAUUUCUUUUAAGAGACCUCAUCUAAAAAGAAGAUUACGACCUCGAUGUUGAAUUAAUCAUCCUAUAAAAUGCAACAGUUUAUAUUAAGGUAGUCUGUUCGACUAUUAAAAGAUUACAUGAUUUGAGUUCAGAUCGGCAUGAGCCAGAUCGGUUUCUAUCUACUUUAUUUUCCUAAGUAAAUAGUACGAAAGGACCCUUACUUAUGAUAAAAU